rnacentral:rRNA from 1 species
GUGUCAGCCGCCGCGGUAAUACGAAGGGGGCUAGCGUUGUUCGGAAUUACUGGGCGUAAAGCGCACGCAGGCGGAUUGAUAAGUCGGGGGUGAAAUCCCGGGGCUCAACCUCGGAAUUGCCUUCGAUACUGUUAGUCUUGAGUCCGGGAGAGGUGAGUGGAAUUCCUAGUGUAGAGGUGAAAUUCGUAGAUAUUAGGAAGAACACCAGUGGCGAAGGCGGCUCACUGGCCCGGUACUGACGCUCAUGUGCGAAAGCGUGGGGAGCAAACAGGAUUAGAUACCCUGGUAGUCC